AACGAACGCUGGCGGCAGGCUUAACACAUGCAAGUCGAGUGGAAACGAUAUUGGAAGCUUGCUUCCGAUAGGCGUCGACCGGCGCACGGGUGAGUAACGCGUAUCCAACCUGCCCAUCACUUGGGGAUAACCUUGCGAAAGUAAGACUAAUACCCAAUGACGUCUCUAGAAGACAUCUGAAAGAGAUUAAAGAUUUAUCGGUGAUGGAUGGGGAUGCGUCUGAUUAGCUUGUUGGCGGGGUAACGGCCCACCAAGGCGACGAUCAGUAGGGGUUCUGAGGGGAAUGUCCCCCACAUUGGAACUGAGACACGGUCCAAACUCCUACGGGAGGCAGCAGUGAGGAAUAUUGGUCAAUGGGCGAGAGCCUGAACCAGCCAAGUAGCGUGCAGGAUGACGGCCCUAUGGGUUGUAAACUGCUUUUAUAAGGGAAUAAAGUGAGCCACGUGUGGCUUUUUGCAUGUACCUUAUGAAUAAGGACCGGCUAAUUCCGUGCCAGCCGCCGCUGUAA
rnacentral:rRNA from 1 species